rnacentral:lncRNA from 1 species
AGGUCGAAAACCAUAAAUCCACAAUGGUUUUCCCUCACCAACAAAAGGAGUGAGGCAGUCACAACUCUUCAACAAACCAAACGAACAAAUGCCACAUGAUUUGUUCCAGCAAAAUGAGAAAUGCAAAAAAAAUCAAAAAAAAAGAAGAAAGCCCGAUAAGUCGAAAACUCAAAAAUAAGUGAUUUAGGAAAAAAUUAGGGCAUCCCAGUGGACUACAAACUCAAAAAAUCAGUCCAGGAAAAAAUUAGGGAAAGCAAAAACAAAAAAGAAAAAGAAAGGAUCAAAAGGCAAA